AAAGAGCCCGUGUUGCACUAACUACAUCAGAGAGGGCACAAUCAAUCAACACAAGUAAGGAAAAGUCUCUCUCCACAUUUCACAUUCUUAGCACAAAGAAAUUUUUCCAAAGAAGGUGGCCAGACAAGGGAAAAAUGUUGUGCUGACUUCUUGUAACCGUUAGAUGUAGUUAAAACUCCAGGACACACUUCACAAACAACUGGAAUAGAGUUGAACUACUCAUUUAGAUAGUGCUAAUUUAUGGUUUACAAAACAUUCUCUUCACAUUCAGGACGCAGUUCUGGCACUCGCCCUCCCCCGAGAGGGAUAAGAACAGCUGCAAAGACCCAUUUCCCUAUCUCUAUGCACACAUGUACACGUGUGUGCGCACCCACACAAUCUCUCCCAGCGUCUUCAGGGCCAGAAAAUACCUUGGAGGUUUUCUAGCUCAGCUCUCAUCUGAACAAUAAGGAAGCCACGACUCAAAGGAAUUAAGUGGAUCGCCCACACUCACCCAGGAUAUGGCUCCCAUUUUAAAGAUGGGGAAACUGGGGUUCAGAAAAAGGAACAGAAUUCCCUGUCACAAAGCGAGCAUCAAGCAGAGACUCAGGCCACCUUCCUUCCUUCGCACUCCCGUCCAGAUGGCACCUGCCAAUGAGUCCACACAAGUUGGCACCAUUCUCAGCAAUCAUGGAAGCAUUUCCCUUCAAGACUGCCGGCCCCUGAGGAAGCCCACAGAGUCGCUGUAAAAACGCUGGAGACUGAAGGAAGCCACCAGAGCGCUCUCUACUAUAAACAGACAGUAUCCACAUAGUUUAUUUCUCACAGUUCUCUUGACAAAUGAACAUUAUUUAAGAACAGACGGUAUACACAGAUAAGAAGGAACAUACAAAAUGUCUUAAAUGAUGCACAACAAAAUCCAGCAGUAUAAAAGGAUGCAUGUGAACCCUCGCUCACUGCGCAGACGAAGUGUAAUCACUUUUUAAAUAGUAAUAAAAAUACAAUCUCUCAUG